rnacentral:rRNA from 1 species
ACCCUACUAGGGAGGAAAAGAAACCAACAGGGAUUGCCCCAGUAACGGCGAGUGAAGCGGCAAGAGCUCAAAUUUGAAAGCUGGCUCCUUCGGGGUCCGCAUUGUAAUUUGUAGAGGAUGCUUCGGGAGCGGUCCCUAUCUAAGUGCCCUGGAACGGGACGUCAUAGAGGGUGAGAAUCCCGUAUGGGAUGGGGUGUCCGCGCCCGUGUGAAGCUCCUUCGACGAGUCGAGUUGUUUGGGAAUGCAGCUCUAAAUGGGUGGUAAAUUUCAUCUAAAGCUAAAUAUUGGCCGGAGACCGAUAGCGCACAAGUAGAGUGAUCGAAAGAUGAAAAGCACUUUGAAAAGAGAGUUAAAAAGCACGUGAAAUUGUUGAAAGGGAAGCGCUUGCGACCAGACUCGCUCGCGGGGUUCAGCCGGCAUUCGUGCCGGUGUACUUCCCCGCGGGCGGGCCAGCGUCGGUUUGGGCGGUCGGUCAAAGGCCCUCGGAAGGUAACGCCCCUAGGGGCGUCUAUAGCCGAGGGUGCAAUGCGACCGCCUAGACCGAGGAACGCGCUCGGCUCGAUCGCGCUU